rfam:Euryarchaeota archaeon 13_1_20CM_4_64_14 13_1_20cm_4_scaffold_2075, whole genome shotgun sequence.
GCCCAGGUCGCCUAGUCCGGUAGGGCGGCGGUCUCGAAAACCGCUGGGUUACCCCUCGCAGGUUCAAAUCCUGCCCUGGGCG